rnacentral:rRNA from 1 species
UACGUAGGGACCGAGCGUUGUCCGGAAUCAUUGGGCGUAAAGAGCGUGUAGGCGGCUCGCUAAGUCUUGCGUGAAAUCUCGGGGCUCAACCCCGAGCGGUCGUGAGAAACUGGCGGGCUAGAGUGCGGGAGAGGAGAGUGGAAUUCCUGGUGUAGCGGUGAAAUGCGCAGAUAUCAGGAAGAACACCCGUGGCGAAAGCGGCUCUCUGGAACGGUACUGACGCUGAGACGCGAAAAGCGUGGGGAGCGAACAGG